UACCCGCAGGGGAGAAGCACGUGAAGUGCGUGAAGCGCGCGAGAAAAAAGAAAUAAAGAAAAAGGAGGCGCAGGUGGAGUUCAGCUGGCAUUGCUGACGUAAUCGACAAGGAAGACAGUGGCAUCUCCAGCUGCGCUCUGGAGACGGCAGGACGCAGCUUCGGGGACCACGGACCGGAAAGCUGGCCAGUGACGACUCCCGCUCCUGAGCCUCGACUGCGUCGCCGUUGCGGUGUUUCGCGGCCGUGGUCCAACCCCACGCUGCCGUAACAACUUGCUGUCCCGUGCCACGAGGGCGAUCGCCUGCCCACGCCAGCGGCACAACGGCCGAGACAUGGUCCGGUGCCACGCGGGUCUCUGCUAAAGACUAUAACCUCAUUGCUCUCGACGGAGGUCGACGCCCACGCUGCGUCAGAACCAUGCAGGCCAACGUCCUUUGCCACGCUGGGCCGGAGUCCGAUGCGACUGGCGACGGUCAUGCAGGUGAUAGCAGCAGUUUACCAUUGCCCAGCCUUGCUACCCUCCAUCAAGAGCAAGUCACUUGUGUUUGCCUUCGGACAGAUGGUUGAUGUCUUGGACACCGUUCUAAGUAGAUAUAUUUGUACCUCCUCGCAGCUGGCGCGUGCGAUCACUGCGCGUGGAGAGAAACGGCUCACCGCGUCGCAGUGGAUGUCGCACUGGCAGUCUCCGCCGGGCGCACACACCGCGCCGAAGCGGCAGCUGCACCCGUCCCC